rnacentral:rRNA from 1 species
UGAGGAAUAUUGGUCAAUGGACGCAAGUCUGAACCAGCCAUGCCGCGUGCAGGAUGACGGUCCUAUGGAUUGUAAACUGCUUUUGUACGAGAAGAAACAUCCCGACGUGUCGGGACUUGACGGUAUCGUAAGAAUAAGGAUCGGCUAACUCCGUGCCAGCAGCCGCGGUAAUACGGAGGAUCCAAGCGUUAUCCGGAAUCAUUGGGUUUAAAGGGUCCGUAGGCGGUUUAGUAAGUCAGUGGUGAAAGCCCAUCGCUCAACGGUGGAACGGCCAUUGAUACUGCUAGACUUGAAUUAUUAGGAAGUAACUAGAAUAUGUAGUGUAGCGGUGAAAUGCUUAGAGAUUACAUGGAAUACCAAUUGCGAAGGCAGGUUACUACUAAUGGAUUGACGCUGAUGGACGAAAGCGUGGGUAGCGAACAGGAUUAGAUACCUGGUAGUCCACGCCGUAAACGAUGGAUACUAGCUGUUGGGG